rnacentral:tRNA from 1 species
UGGAGGUGUAGCUCAAUGGCAAAGCACUUGCGUAACAUGCUUGUGACCCUGGGUUCAAUCCCCAGAUCUGCAA